rnacentral:rRNA from 3 species
GAGUGGACGCAUCACUGGUGUUCGGGUUGUCAUGCCAAUGGCACUGCCCGGUAGCUAAAUGCGGAAGAGAUAAGUGCUGAAAGCAUCUAAGCACGAAACUUGCCCCGAGAUGAGUUCUCCCUGAGACCUUGAGUCUCCUGAAGGAACGUUGAAGACGACGACGUUGAUAGGUCGGGUGUGUAAGCGCAGCGAUGCGUUGAGCUAACCGAUACUAAUGAACCGUGAGGCUUAACCUUACAACGCCGAAGCUGUU